CCUUCAGCUGCCUCCCUUGCUAUAACAAAGUGUCAGCCCAACACGCCACGCCCUGCCCUACACUGGCCCGCCGCCGUCCGUAUCAAAGGCCUUCCAGUUCUCGUAGCCUCGCGGGCCCAGGUGGUCGGGGUGAACGAAGGGCUUCAAGGUACAGUUUGUGAUCAGCGGGUACACGACUUGCCCGCCCGCGAAGAACGAUGCCCAGAACCCGAAGGAACCCACAGUCAUGAUGGAGUGGGAGCAGGACCCCAGCAACGCCAUGUCCUCUGCCGCCGUCUUCAUGUCUGCGUGAGGAGGAGCAGGAGGAGGAGGAGGAGGAG